UACGUAGGGCGCAAGCGUUAUCCGGAAUUAUUGGGCGUAAAGAGCUCGUAGGCGGUUUGUCGCGUCUGCCGUGAAAGUCCGGGGCUCAACUCCGGAUCUGCGGUGGGUACGGGCAGACUAGAGUGAUGUAGGGGGAGACUGGAAUUCCUGGUGUAGCGGUGAAAUGCGCAGAUAUCAGGAGGAACACCGAUGGCGAAGGCAGGUCACUGGGCCGCAACUGACGCUGAGGAGCGAAAGCAUGGGGAGCAACAGG
rnacentral:rRNA from 1 species